GACGGAAGGUGCAAGCGUUGCUCGGAAUCAUUGGGCGUAAAGGGUGCGUAGGCGGCCGUGCAAGUCUGGCGUGAAAGCCCCGGGCUCAGCCCGGGAAGUGCGCUCGAAACUGCGCGGCUCGAGUGCCGGAGGGGAGAGUGGAAUUCCUGGUGUAGCGGUGAAAUGCGUAGAUAUCAGGAGGAAUACCGGUGGCGAAAGCGACUCUCUGGACGGCAACUGACGCUGAGGCACGAAAGCGUGGGGAGCAAACAGG
rnacentral:rRNA from 1 species